AUAAAAUAGACAAAUAUUUCAUUCUUUUCUAUUUUAUUGGUUUUGUGUUAUAUUUUAGUAGGAUUAUAAAAUUAUUUUCUCAUAUUUCCUUCUAAUAAUUGUAUGUCUUUCUUGCUUGAUACUUUAGACUCCUUAAAUUUUGCUUUCUUUUGUGUGUCUGGGUUUACUGAGAAAUAGGAAGUUAAGUUUUCUUUUUCAGAAAAGAUAACCAGAUCUCCAAAUGUCAUUAUUUCUACACUGAACUGAAAUUCUAUCAUAAAAUAUAUAGGUGAGGUUUUUUUUGUUGUUGUUGUGGAAAGUAUUUAACUAUUAUUGAGGUUAGGACCUCAUUGAUUUAUUUGCAGGAGCCUGAUAUUUUUAAGUAUGACACCAAUGUUGUUUCCUUCAUUAUUCAUCUUUUCUCUGAUUUCCCCCUUUUUGUGCAUAUGUGAUGUUAGAUGAAUUUUAGCAUCAACUUCCAUUGAAACAUACUUUUGAAAUGCCUGAGAGCUUUCAAGUUAUGGCACAAGUUGGCACAUUUAGAGUCAUGAAUUUGUAUCCAGAUACUUAUUUUCUUUCUCCGUUUGUCUAAUUUUGUUGUAGUCACAAAACAGUAAUAGGCCUUUUCUUUGUUUUUUUUUUCCUCUAAAUACGUAACUGUUAUUCUAAUGAAUGAUACUACAUCUUUUACUAUAUACAUAAUAGUUUUAUGCAUGUAUAUAAUUUGUAACUAUAAAGUCAGGAUAAUUAGUAUCAUCAUCUCCUCAAGUAGUUCUUUGUUUUGGCCAGGUUUCUGUUCUGUGUAUGCUUAUUUUUGAACAUACUGAUUGACUCUGUGUGACUGUUGUUGGUAGUAUUACAGUUGCAUUUUAAAAAUUUAUUAUUUAUUGUCUUAACAUUUAUGUUCAGUCAUCAUAUUUAGCUAUUUCUUCUUCUAAUAUUGUAUUUCUUUAGUUGAAUAUUUUUAAUUCUGAUGCACAUAAUCAUGUACAUUUUAAUAAUGAAACUUUAGCCUGAUAUUUUUAUAUGGUGUUUCCUUAUUACAACAUUAGUAAAGACUUUAUGACUCUUAGAAUAGUGCACACUUAUAUUGUUGAAUAAAGAACAGUAAUCUCUUUUAUUUUAUUUUUACCUUAAUAGAAAUUUGUUAGUGUUUCAUUUACAGAAAUAAUUUCCAUUGAUUCCAAUAUAUGCUUCUUUUCAUGUUAUAUAAAUGUCCUUCCAUUCUUUUGAUUUAUUAGGAAUAUGUAUAGAAUGAUACCAUUUUUUCUGGUGUCUUUGCAAAUGAUUAUCAGGAUAAAGUAUAGUUAUUCUCUUUAAUUUAUUAAUGUAAUUACUGUAAUUAACUGAUCUACUUUACUAUUCUAGGACUAAAAAUCUAACUUGGUAGUAGUACUUUGGUAUGUCUCUGUUUCAUUUAAAAGAUAAAACUCUAUAUGAACAGCUGCUUAUAGAAAGCACCUCUUUCCCUUUCCUAUAACAUAACAUAACACACUGGGGAGAGAGAAGAUUGUGCAGGGAUCAGAGUACUGGUCUUCCGGGCAUUGCCUUGCUGCCUUUGGAGUUAAGAUCCCAGUAUACAUACAGCCCAUCUAUAUGCAGUAGUUUCAUACUCUGCCUUUCACCACACCAUCUGUAUGUCACUGUGUUUGUGUAAUGCAGUGCUGGGAUGGAGCCUGGCCAGAGCUUCCUGUAUGCGGAAUAUACGUUCUGCCUCCUGAGUCACAUACUCAUUCCCUCGAAUUAUAUUACAAAGAUAGCUAUUUUAUCUCAGUUAGCUUUCGGUUGGGGUUUUCUUUUUCCGUCCUUUAAAAAAUUUCUCUAAUUUCUACUCAUGCUAUUUCACAUAUGGAGAAAGUAUCUCAAUUGUAAAUAAUAUAAUAUAAAUAUAUAAUAUGGAUAAUUUCUUUGCAUCUUAUAUGUAAUAAAUUUUCCCAUAGACUAUUGAUGUAUUUUAUUUUUGUUAAGGUAGUAUUUUAUAUUGCUCUAUAGUAAAUCAAACAUAUUAUUUGUUCAGUUUUCUAUUUUUGUUUGCUUGAUUUAAAAUAAAAUAAGUGUAAACUCUUCUAUUUAAUUAUUUUGUCAAAAUUUCCUCUUUUAAAUGUCCCCUUUUCAAAUAAAACAUAAUACAGUAUUUUUACCUUAUGAAAAAUUAAGCUUUUAUUAAUAGAUAAUUAACACAAUGAAUAACAGGUAUGACUUAGAUUUGUCAUGUCUCUUGAUAGUCCACAUCAUAAAAACUUGUAAUCAAAAUUGUUAGUAUUGGGGGAAAAAGGAAACUGAGAUUUUAUUUCAUCUGAGAAUAUUUGUCACUGGAUUCAUAAUUUGAAAGUUCACAUUAAUUUUACUUGAUACUAUUUGCUCAUAAUUUAUUUUGGAAUUUUGCUAUUUUUUCCUUUCUACAUCUGUCAAUGUAUAUGACACCUUUUAUUUUUGAAGUUAUAAUUACUUCCUUCCCUUUCCUUCAUCCAAACCCUCCCACUCUCUUUCAAAUUCAUGGUGUGUUUUUUCAUAUAUAUAUAUAUAUAUAUAUAUACACACAUAUAUACACACACAUAUAUAUACAUAUAUACACAUACAUAUAUAUGUAUAUGUGUGUAUAUGUAUAUAUGAAUAUAUGUAAUAUAGGAAUAUAUAAUAUAGGAAUAUAUAUAAUAUGGGAAUAUAUGUAAUGUAUAUUCCUAUAUACAACCUCUUCAGUCUAUAUGUUACUUGUAUAUGAGUUUUCAGGGCAGACCAUUUGGUACUGGAUUUCUUUUAUCUAUAUUUAUAAGUUUUAAGUAUCACUUUUAUUGUAAUGUGAUUAUAUUGAUAUAUGUAUAUGUUUAUUUAUAUACCUUAAUAUUAUAAUUUUUACACUAAAGAUGUUUAUAAUAAAACUAUCUCCUUUUAAAAAAAAAAAAAAAAA
rnacentral:lncRNA from 1 species